rnacentral:rRNA from 1 species
UGGGGAAUAUUGCGCAAUGGGCGAAAGCCUGACGCAGCGACGCCGCGUGGGGGAGGAAGGCCCCAGGGUUGUAAACCCCUGUCAGGUGGGACGAACCCCGGUACGUCGAACAGGCGUACCGACUGACGGUACCACCAGAGGAAGCUCCGGCCAACUACGUGCCAGCAGCCGCGGUAAUACGUAGGGUCCUAGCGUUAUCCGGAAUCAUUGGGCGUAAAGAGCUCGUAGGCGGUUCAGCAAGUCGGCUGUGAAAGUCCGAGGCUCAACCUCGGAAUUGCAGUCGAUACUGCUGUGACUCGAGUCCGGUAGAGGAGAAUGGAAUUCUCGGUGUAGCGGUGAAAUGCGCAGAUAUCGAGAGGAACACCAGUAGCGAAGGCGGUUCUCUGGGCCGGCACUGACGCUGAGGAGCGAAAGCGUGGGGAGCAA